UACGUAGGGGGCAAGCGUUGUCCGGAAUCAUUGGGCGUAAAGCGCGUGUAGGCGGCCAGGUAAGUCCGUUCUGAAAGCCCGGGGCUCAACCCCGGGAGGCGGAUGGAUACUGCUUGGCUCGAGUCCGGAAGAGGUGAGUGGAAUUCCUGGUGUAGCGGUGAAAUGCGCAGAUAUCAGGAGGAACACCGGUGGCGAAGGCGGGUCUCUGGGCCGAUACUGACGCUGAGGAGCGAAAGCGUGGGGAGCGAACAGG
rnacentral:rRNA from 1 species